ACCCAUAUGGUCCAAUGGUUAUGACGCUGCCCUUUCAAGGCGGAAGUGAGGGUUCGAUUCCCUCUAUGGGUA
rnacentral:tRNA from 1 species